rfam:Gossypium raimondii Chr12_contig_860, whole genome shotgun sequence.
UGUUACAAUUUUCAACCAUUUCUAUCGUUAAAAACCAGCAUAGCUUAUGAAAUAACAAGAGUGGCAUGCUGCAUGUACUUUAUGCUGCCAUACGAGGACCAGUUUUUAAUUCUAGAAUUGAUGAAAUUUUUUAACA